UACACUGGCCGAAAGACUACUCCAAAUAGAACUGAGAUCCACCACCCAAACUUCAAUUCUCUCUCUCUCAUUUCUUCUUAAACCUCUGUUCCCAAACUAGGAACAAGCUGCUCUUUCUCUCUCUUCACCUUAUUCACACCAAACUCAUAUUCGCAAACUCACCUUCAAACUCUUACCGACAACUUCUUCAAUUGCAUCAAUCCAACAAACCCAUUACCCUUUAAUGCAUUCAUCUCAGAUUUUCGUCUAAAAGGGUGUUUCUCUCACUCUCCAAACCUUCGCUUUUCAUACACAUCAAUGGGGGUUCCUAUAGUUGAAUUUGACCAAAGACUUCUCACAAACUCAAAAGAGCAUGAAAUAUUCUCAAAAACAAACACUGCCGGGGAAGGAAGAGAUGCAGCAAAACCCCCAAGGGGCGGCUGUGUAUGGUUUUGGUAAUUUUUUCUAUAAUUAGUUCUCUGACAUUAGUAUUCUAGAACUAUUAAUCUUUUUUGAAUUUUUUAUUUUGCAUCUUUCCGACCCACCCACUAUGUCAACCUUGCUAAUGGUUAAAAUUUGUGGGUUGGCCACCACGUGGGCGGACUGUAACCACAUCGUCCAUAAAUGCUGAACUAGGUUCGGCCACAACUCCAUAUCCAUAAUACCACUGCGAUUUUAAUAACAAGUACAACCGUGAAAGAAGAAGGAG